rnacentral:rRNA from 1 species
UACGGGGGGGGCAAGCGUUGUUCGGAAUUACUGGGCGUAAAGGGCUCGUAGGCGGCCAUCUAAGUCAGACGUGAAAUCCCCAGGCUCAACCUGGGAACUGCGUCUGAUACUGGAUGGCUUGAAUCCGGGAGAGGGAUGCAGAAUUCCAGGUGUAGCGGUGAAAUGCGUAGAUAUCUGGAGGAAUACCGGUGGCGAAGGCGGCAUCCUGGACCGGCAUUGACGCUGAGGAGCGAAAGCCAGGGGAGCAAACGGG